GCUUCUCUGAGAUCCAUGUCACACAGAAGCCUCUUUUCUGAAUGAACGUUGACUUUGAAGUCAGACAGAUUUGAGUUUGAAUUCCACCUCUGUCAGGCAUGAACUGUGUGACUCUGGGAAAAUUAGUGUCUCUAAAUUGAUUUUCUACGUUAUAAAAGAGAAUAACCAAAACCAGCUUUAUAAAUGUAGAAGAGGUAAGAUAUGUAAAAUUACCUCAUACAGAUCUACAAAUUGGGCAAUUUAUGAGAGAGAGGGAGAACUACGUGUAGUGGGAAGACUUGUACUGUACUCUCUCAUGGUGUAUGAUAGCCCCCAGCUCUUUCAUUAUUAGAGAAACCAACAAUACAUUUUAAACUUACGGAGAUGGUGGAGUUAAAGAUGCAUGAAGGAAGGAAGGGAGAAGAUGUGAUGCAGGCACAUCACCAAAGACAAGAGAUCCAGACUUCCAGGAGUGAAACAACAGAAAACAACCAGUGGCUCACCGUGACACUGGAAAU